UACGAAGGGGGCUAGCGUUGCUCGGAAUCACUGGGCGUAAAGCGCACGUAGGCGGACUCUUAAGUCGGUGGUGAAAUCCUGGAGCUCAACUCCAGAACUGCCUUCGAUACUGAGAGUCUCGAGUUCGGGAGAGGUGAGUGGAACUGCGAGUGUAGAGGUGAAAUUCGUAGAUAUUCGCAAGAACACCAGUGGCGAAGGCGGCGCACUGGCCCGGUACUGACGCUGAGGUGCGAAAGCGUGGGGAGCAAACAGG
rnacentral:rRNA from 1 species